rnacentral:tRNA from 1 species
GGCCGGCUGAGGUUCGGGUCCCCGGCGGCUUCGGGUGCGGCCGGCUGAGGUUCGGGUCCCCGGCGGCUUC